rnacentral:rRNA from 1 species
UACGUAGGGAGCAAGCGUUGUCCGGAAUCAUUGGGCGUAAAGCGCGCGUAGGUGGCCCCAUAAGUCCGCUGUGAAAGUCGAAGGCUCAACCUUCGAAAGCCGGUGGAUACUGUGGGACUAGAGUACGGAAGAGGCGAGUGGAAUUCCUGGUGUAGCGGUGGAAUGCGCAGAUAUCAGGAGGAACACCGGUGGCGAAGGCGGGUCUCUGGGCCGAUACUGACGCUGAGGAGCGAAAGCGUGGGGAGCGAACAGG